rnacentral:rRNA from 1 species
UACAGAGGGUGCGAGCGUUGUCCGGAAUCACUGGGCGUAAAGGGCGCGUAGGCGGCUUGAUAAGCGUGCGGUGAAAGCCCGGGGCUCAACCCCGGGUCGGCCGUGCGAACUGUCGAGCUGGAGCACUGUAGAGGCAGGUGGAAUUCCGGGUGUAGCGGUGGAAUGCGUAGAGAUCCGGAAGAACAUCAGUGGCGAAGGCGGCCUGCUGGGGCUGUUGCUGACGCUGAGGCGCGACAGCGUGGGGGAGCAAACAGG